CUCAGGCUGCAUUGGUUAACGUUAGGGAGCGGUCACGUGACAAAAGAACGAAAGGACUCGGAGGACUCGAGAGAUGAACUAAUCUUUUCUCUUUCCGGCUCAGACUGCAUUGGUUAACGUCAGGGAGCGGUAAUGUGUUGAACCACAACGAGACUUAAACCCGACGACUUGUCAGAUCAGAGGUGAGGUGAGCUAGACUAAAGACCCAGAAAGUGUAAAUUGUGAGAAAGGGUGGAAAGAAAGUGAUGCCCAGCAAACUGCAGUCUCACCUUCAGAAAAGCAAGAACAAGAAUAUGAAAAAGAAACAGAAAAAAACAAAAUCCAAAGGGUCAGGAGAUACAAAUACAUUGAAACCUGUCAGAUGCAAAAGCAUGGAGCGUCUGGGACCAAAUUUCUCUCAUGAUCCAGUCAGAGCUGUAGAAUUUCGUUCUGAUGUACCAGAAGGUCCAGGAUGAGAAAACAGGACCUUUAUCUCCAGUAUUUGAUGGGUGAUCUGUCACCAGCUAGCCAAAUUUCUACUGUACUUGCAAGUUGCAAACAGUAACACAAAAGAAUACAAUUACUGAUAAUUCCAACUCAGGAAGAAGAUUGUCAAUUUUGGGGCAAGAAAGAGCUACCUGGAGCUACCUGAAAGAAGGACAUGAAGACCAUAACCAUUUCACAUCUAAAUACCUACACACACACACACACACACACACACUUCAGUCUACAAUAUCUACAUUGCAGCUGUAGGAUAUCAGAGUGAAUCAGACAAAUUGAAGAUUCAAUCAGAUCAUUGUUGAAACCAAAAAAGCCAAAUUCAACAAAGAGGCCCAAGCUAACCAGACCACGUCAUAAAUCGGUCCAUGAUACCCUGGCACCAGCCAGCCUGAAGUAAGCCUAACCAACUGACUUUGAACAGCUUUGUAGGGUAUCAGAGUGAAUCAGACAAAUGGAAGAUCCGAUCAGAAGAUUUGGUUGAAACCAAAGAGCCAAAUUCCACAAAGAGGCCCAAGCUAACCAGACAACGUCAUAAAUCUGUCCACGAUAACCUGGUGCCAGCCAGCCUGAAGUAAGCCUAACCAACCAACUUUCACAACUUUGAACAACUUGCAACAUUAACAAAAGAACCCAAUUAUUGAUAAUCCCAACUCAGAAAGGAGAUUGUCAAUUUUGGGGCAAGAAACCCAAGACCACUGGUCAAAGAUACAGCACAUCAGGACCAUCACAUGAGGAAACUUUGCCGCUAAGCCACGAACUUCCAGCCAAUCAGCAACCUUGGGAAACCCCCUUUCUGCAACGUCAUCAAAAAGUGAAUCCCUUAACACAAAGGCAAUGGAAGUACAAACCUCCAGAUUCUAGCUGAACUGGUGCAUUUGAUAUAAACUUUAAUAACCUCAUUAAGAAACUGAACGCGAGGGUUAAUUAAAUGAUUGAUGGUUGUUCAUAUUGCUAUAAACUAUAAAAUUUCAUAUUUCAUAUUUCACUCUUCUAAACUCUUUCCUCAUCUACCCUCUUUCCUCAACACGUGUGAAUGUGUGUCUAUGUGUUAGAUUAGUUUAUAUGUCUUAGGU